ensembl:lncRNA
CCCGUGUCAGGGUGGGCUGCCCUGGCCACAUGCUCCUAGUGCUCCCCGGUCUUUCUGCCCAGCACCCGUGUAACUCCUUCCUAGACUCAUGGAGGUCAUGUUCGUAUUUCUGCUACAGUGGAAGCGCCGUGGAGGCCAGGACCCGGCCUGUCUUGUUCACCCCUGCGUUCCCGGUUCUCAGCACAGGGCAAGGGUCAUGGUAUGUGCCCAGUGAACACUUCUCGCACACCAACAACCCAGGACACGGACUUUGUGCCCACUUUACAGCACAGGGCAAGGAGCCAAGGUCCAACCCGUGCUGUGCUGAGGUCACAGAGUUUGUCCAAGAUACAGGCACUGGAAUCUCACCCUCCAUUUGUUUGUUCAACAGGUUUUUAUCCGGCGCCCACUGGAUGCAGAGAUGGAGCUGAAGCCGCCCUGCGAAGGAGAGAGGCAAUAAAAGCGACAGCAGGGAGCGGGAGCCAUGGGAGCUGUGCACGUGCAGGACGGACCUCUGAGGGGACGUGGAGCUGGCCACAAGCUCAGCAGGGUCUUUGCAAAGAUGAGGUGGGGCCUGGAUUUGCUCUGCAUGGUCUCAAGAACCAGGGCUGGAACCGCCUUCUCCACCUAGACUCCGAUUCCUGCAAACACAGCGGUGAUGGAACCCUAAGGAAACGUGAAAGCGCCUGCCUUCUGCUCUCAAUAACAUCGCAGCUGAUCAAGCUCUGCCAGCUCGCGGCCCCGUGGCUCCCGGACCGAGAGAGUAGGAAAUUCAGAAUUGCCAACUCAGUUUUCCCCACCAAGCACAUUUUGUUUAAAAUUUUCAUCUAGAGUCACCAUAAUUUCUUAAAAGAAAAAACUUUUUUUUUUUUUUGAAGAUUAGCCCUGAGCUAACAUCUGCCACCAAUCCUCCUCUUUUUGCUGAGGAAGAUUGGCCCUGAGCUAACAUCUGUGCCUGUCUUCCUCCACUUUAUAUGUGGGACGCCUACGACAGCAUGGCGUGCCAAGCGGUGCCAUGUCCACACCCAGGAUCCAAACCGGUCAACCCUGGGCUGUCAAAGCAGAAUGUGCGCACUUAACCACUGCGCCACCGGGCUGGCCCCAGAAAAAACUUUUAAACACAGAAAGGAGUUAGUCUCAGAAUAGGGAAAAUAACCAGAGAGUUGUCAAUUCACGCUGAUGCUACCAAAUUUAUUUUGUAAAUAGCAUAUUUGAAAAGUUUGUUUGAAACAACCCAAAUUAUCUUCGGUGAUGAAUGGGUAAACCAAAUGUGGUCCAUCCAUACGAUGGAAUAUUAUUCAGCCAUAAAAAGGAAUGAGGGAUCGAUACAUACCACAAUGUGGGGGAAGCUCAGAAACGUGAUGCUAAGUGAAGGAGGCCAGACUCAAAAGGCCGCCUAUUGUACCGUUCUGUUUAUGUAAAAUGUCCCAAAUAGGCAAAUCCAUAGGAACAGAACGUAGACUGGUGGUUGUCAGGGGCUGGAAGGAGGGAGGAAAUGGAGAGAGACUGCUAGCGGGUACAGGCUUCUUUUGAGGGUGAUAAAAAUGUUCUGAAAUUAGAGAGUGGGGAUGGUUGCACGACAUUGUGAAUAUACUAAAAACCACUAAAUUGUAUACUUUAAAAUGACAACUUUUAUGUUUUAUGGAUUAUAGCUAAUUAAAAAAUACAGUUAAAAAACAUGAAUGUAGGAAAAAAGUUUGUGGAAGUAUGAAAAUGACGACCUUAAGUCGUCUUGACAUCCCCUUGGCGAGGGGCUGUUUGCAUCGGGAACCCUCCGUUGACUGUGUGUCACGAACUUUUCUGCUCCCGUGGAUUUUGCAACUGUUACAAAUCCGUUUUCACAGAGCCGGGUUGACCGAAACGGAAGCAAAGAGAGCUCACUUGUCCGCUCAAGGCAGAAUAUUCUGAGCCGUCACUGGCCAAGGGAUGCUGGGGUGGGGUCAACCCUGGCCCUUCACAUCUGCCCUGGACCUGGACGGAGGGCAGAGUGAGGUGGGCCAGGCUGCCUGCUAUGAUGGUCGUCCAUGUCUGGACAUCUUCAGCAUGGGGGGUGGGGACCGCUCCCUUGGAGAUGCCUGGGCUGCUGUCCUGUGAAGCCCCCUCCUGUCUCCCCCUCCCUCCGUUCCCUAACCCCUGCUCUGUUCACGAUGCUGGUGGAGAGUGGAUUUUUGGUGUUCAACAUGAACUGGAAGCUCAGUGUCACACGAGGACCAAUGGGGAGCAGCAGGAUAGCACCGAGGCAGUGGGGCCCAUGGCUUGGAAACCCCUGUGGGGAUCUCCAAGGGCGGGGCCCCAGCCGCUGUCUGGGUUGGGGAAUGAAUGCAGGGUGGGCAGGAUCAGCUCUGAAGUGGGGACUGUGGGGUCCCUGCAGGUAGAAGUCCACCUCU